GCAAUAUCUUUGGUCUAUCCGGAUAUAUGCUGAGCUAGAUCAUUAUUGCCAAUAAUUAGACAUCUUUAUAUAAAAUUUUUUCGUAAACAUAACUAAAACAUAAGGAUAUUUGUGAAAAUGAAUAAACAUUGCGGGUUUAAAAUGUAAUUAAGAUAAAUUGAGAAGAAGGAUUAAAAAAAUUUUGUCCUCUUCUAGGUACUACACCUAGCAGCAGUCCAAAAUGAAAACUAAUUAAAUAACUCACGAGCAUCCAAAUUUUGACGGGGGAAGAAAAUUGCUUAUAAUAUUACAGAAAUGAUCAAACAGAAAGCCAGGUAACCAAAUUAACAUCAAUCAAAAGAAAAGUGACACAAGAAAUAAUUAGCUUCUUUAACUAGAAGAUUUCCAUUCUCUGUUGAACUGGGGUCUUGAUGACCUGCAAGAUUUGCACCACUUCUGCCAUUGAAGGCCUGCUGGAUGGAAUGUGAGAGGUACACACCAGGGCCAAUUUGAGCACUGGCAAGACUUCACCAUCUGGAUAAUCCCCCAUGCUAGGAUCAACACAAUCCAAGGCGUUCCCUUGCUCAACUAAAACCCUCACAUGAUCGUUUAGUAUCAUCACGUUUUCUUCACUAUAUUCAACCGGCCUUUUACCUGUCACAAGCUCAAGAAUCAAAAUUCCAAAACCAUAUACAUCACAUUUCUCAUUCACCCUCAAGCUCUGGCAUGCUAGUUCUGGUGCCACGUACCCCAAUGCGCUCUGGAAUCUAUUACUUAUGACAUGCUUAUCAAGCUUUGUCAAAAGCCUCGCAAGUCCAAAAUCUGAAAUCUUU
rnacentral:misc_RNA from 1 species